rnacentral:rRNA from 1 species
UGAGGAAUAUUGGUCAAUGGGCGGAAGCCUGAACCAGCCAAGUAGCGUGCAGGAUGACGGCCCUACGGGUUGUAAACUGCUUUUUGCGGGAAUAAAGUGGCCCACGUGUGGGCCUUUGCAUGUACCGCACGAAUAAGGACCGGCUAAUUCCGUGCC